rnacentral:rRNA from 1 species
UACCUGCAGCUCAAGUAGUGACCGCUAUUAUUGGGCCUAAAACGUUCGUAGCCGGUUUGGUAAAUGCCUGGGUAAAUAGUGUAGCUUAACUAUACGAAUUCCGGGUAGACUGCCAAACUUGAGACCGGGAGAGGCUAGAGGUACUCCUGGGGUAGAGGUGAAAUUCUGUAAUCCUGAGGGGACCACCAGUGGCGAAGGCGUCUAGCUAGAGCGGGUCUGACGGUGAGGGACGAAGCCCUGGGGCGCAAACCGGAUUAGAUACCCGGGUAGUCCAGGGUGUAAACGCUGCUUGCUUGAUGUUAGUUGGGCUCCGAGCCCAAUUAGUGUCGGAGAGAAGUUGUUAAGCAAGCUGCCUGGGAAGUACGAUCGCAAGAUUAGAAACUUAAAGGAAUUGGGCGGGGGAGCACAGCAACGGGUGGAGCGUGCGGUUU